GCCACGUGACACAGUCGGCCUCCCAACUGUAGAUGUUUGAAAUGCAGAAGUUGACCUUCGACCUUGUUCCAUAUGCCUCACUGUAUUUUCCUUCAUUGCUGCAGACUGGUUGCACCAGUACUGGAACGCUUUUGAGUCAUGCAGCACAAUUCCACAAGUGUUGGAUCACAUGCAGGUUUUGUCCUGCAUGCUGGCUGUACAGUAUCUCACAGCUCUCGUGGCACUCACGCCAACAUCCAGUCCGCUGGAGUCGGGAAUGGCGUCGUGGAUGUUGCAGUAGUAACCCAGGCCCACGAUGCUGAAGCGGACCAAAGCGCCCAUGUAGAGGGAGAGGAUGGGGAUGAGGAGAGGCUCUACGCAUUCCAGAUUGCUGUGGAGGAGAAUGGCCACGAACACGAUCUGCAAGAAGAGAACCACCGUCAAUCCGUGUGAUCCAGCUCGACUACUGCAACGCACUUCUUGUCGGGAUCCCCAGCAAGAACAUCCAGAAGGUGCAAUACGUACAGAAUAGUGCUGCUAGGAUCCUGAUGAGAGUGCGGAAAUAUGAACAUAUCACACCAAUGAUCAAAUCCCUUCAUUGGCUUCCUGUUCCACUCAGAAUUGAAUACCAAGUCUCCCUACUAAACCACCAGUUCCUCAAAGGAAACGCCCCCCUCUGCCUCAAAGAACUACUCACGAGCAAAUUCUCCACCAGACACCUCCGCUCUGGACAGGCUAACCCCCUCCAACCUCCCAGGACAAAGCUACGAACAAGGGGAGACCGGGCUUUCUGCUCCGCCGCUUCCAGUCUGUGGAACGCUCUCCCUGACCACCUGAAGGCACCACAGACUGUGGAUGCUUUUAAAAAGGCUUAAAAACCCUUCUUUUUAAAAAAAACAAAACUUUUUUUAGCUAUAUGAAUACUAG